rnacentral:misc_RNA from 1 species
GAAAUGCGAUAAGUAGUGUGAAUUGCAGAAUUCAGUGAAUCAUCGAAUCUUUGAACGCACAUUGCGCCUCCUGGUAUUCCGGGAGGCAUGCCUGUUCGAGCGUCAUUAAAUACCACUCAAGCUCUUCUGCUUGGUCAUGGAAGAAGAGUAUGCUUGCAUCCUCUCUUCUGAAAUCGAACGGCGGACUGCCUCAUGUGCCUCGCGUAGUAAGUUCAUCUUUUCGCUUGGAGUGUGAGAUAGUCUCGCCAUCAACCCCCAUACUUCUAAGGUUGACCUCGGAUCAGGUAGGGAUACCCGCUGAACUUAA